rnacentral:rRNA from 1 species
UACGAAGGGUGCAAGCGUUACUCGGAAUUACUGGGCGUAAAGCGUGCGUAGGUGGUUUGUUAAGUCUGUUGUGAAAGCCCCCGGGCUCAACCUGGGAAUGGCAAUGGAUACUGGCAAGCUAGAGUCCGGAAGAGGCGAGUGGAAUUCCUGGUGUAGCGGUGAAAUGCGCAGAUAUCAGGAGGAACACCGAUGGCGAAGGCAGCUCGCUGGGACGGUACUGACGCUGAGGCGCGAAAGCGUGGGGAGCAAACAGG